rnacentral:misc_RNA from 1 species
GAACGCACAUUGCGCCCGCCAGUAUUCUGGCGGGCAUGCCUGUUCGAGCGUCAUUUCAACCAUCAAGCCCCCGGGCUUGUGUUGGGGACCUGCGGCUGCCGCAGGCCCCGAAAACCAGUGGCGGGCUCGCUGUCACCCCGAGCGUAGUAGUUUACACCUCGCCCAGGGCGCGACGCGGGUUUCCCGGCCGUUAAACACCCCCCAUCUAAAGGUUGACCUCGGAUCAGGUAGGAAGACCCGCUGAACUUA